ACCCUUUGUGGUUCACAAGCGUGGUAACUGGGUUUUCUUGCUAUUGUGUGAGACGUGUCUCUCUUUAAUCUUGUGGGCACAUUACUUGUCUGAUG
ensembl:snoRNA